AAGCUUUAGAGAGGGUGCAGAGGAGAUUUACUAGAAUGCUGCCUGGACUGAAGGUCAUGCCUUAUGAAGAAAGGUAGAGGGAGCUGGUUUAAUGAGGGUUACCACCAAUAAGACAAGGGAAGAGAUAGCAAUGGGGAACCUUUCAUGGUAACUCCACCAGUGUGGGAAUUGAACCCAUACUGCUGGCAUUAUUCUGCAUUGCAAACCAGUUAUCCAGCCACCUGACCCCAUAGUAGCAUAAUGCUAAUGUAGUAAUUGAGAGACCAAGAUUAAUAUUGUCAGUAUGUGGCAUCAAAUCUCCCAAUGACAGCUGCUUUGAUUAUUCAUUGAAUUUAAAUUCCAUUUGGAAUGUUUUUUUAAAAAAAAAGUUAACUUUCCAUUCAUUGCCUCUGCUCUCCUUUCACUUCUUGCAUUGGAUAAGGCUGAAGACAACAGGAACUGAUAAGAGGCUUUACAAUGAGCUCUUAUGUGAGUGGAAUUAUGCUAAGUCAUUCAAGUCUGCCAAGAGCUAAGGUUGCAGGAAAUCAGGAACUGCUGUCUCUACUAAAUAAGGACAAAACACUUGGGAUUGGACACACGCACGGGUAAUUCCAAAUAAGGUAUACUCUUGGCUCAGAGACUGGUGUCUAAAGAAAAUCCUUGAUUUUCAGCAGGACUUCAAAGAUUAAGUACAGGAGGUAUCGUACAUCAGGUGGUGUGUUGAAGACAUCAGGAGGAGUUCCAGCCUGGCCAGCUGCCACCUCUCCUAGGUGCAUAAUUUUCUGGGAUAUGCCACCUAAAAGUGCAAAAAUGCUCAUGUCAAGUUUCAUGGAGAUCGAGAAAAUCAUGUUAACGACGGUUUACAGCCAACUAACCAAAACUCUGUGCUUGGAUUCACACACAAAGCCUUUCACGAGGAAUCAACAUGAAAGAAGGAAGAAAAUGAUGAGGAAUCAUGUUUUUAACUGAAAACUGGAUAUAUUUGCCAAAAUCCAGUAAGAACAAAGAGACUUGUCUCUCAAAUCAGGAUGCUGCAGCUCCAGACCUCACAUGAGACACAGACCAAAAGUAGAAUCCAGAGGUGAGGUGAUAAUGGUUACUCUUGGCAUCAAAAUUUACUGAUUAUAACAUCAAGGCGUCUGAAUAAAAUAAAUUGAAGGGAUUAAAAAAAAAGCACUCCAAGGUUUGGAGUCAUACUUGGUGAAAGCGACAAUGGUUGUGGCUAUCAGAUACAAACAUCUCAGCUGUAGGAGUUGCUGAAGACUGUUCAUCAUCUUCAGUCACUUCAUGAUGAAACUAGUCUUGUUAAUAUGUUCAAAAGUAGGGCACUCACAUAAUUGCACAGUUCAAUUUGAAUUGCAACUCUUCAGACAAGAGAGUACUGUACACCUGAAUGCAGCAAGUCAUG